GACGAACGCUGGCGGCGUGCUUAACACAUGCAAGUCGAACGGAAAGGCCUUGCUUUUGUGGGGUGCUCGAGUGUCGAACGGGUGAGUACCACGUGAUUAACCUGCCCUUGACUUUGUGAUAACUUCAGGAAACUGGGGCUAAUACCGGAUAGUUACUCCUUCUUCAUGGUUAGCUUUUGAAUGUUUGGUGGGUUGGGGAUGGAUGCGCGUCUUAUCAGCUUGUUGGUGGGGUAGUGGAUUACCAGGUCUUUGCAGGGUAGCCGGCCUGAGAGGGUGACCGGCCAGAUUGGUACUGAGAUACGGCCCAGACUACUACGGGAGGCAGCAGUGGGGAAUAUCGAACAAUGGGCGGAAGCAUGAUGGAGGAACGCAGCGUGCGGGAUGAAGGACGUCGGGUUGUAAACAGCGUUCGGCUGUGACGAAGGGUGAGUGACGGUAAUGGGUAAAGAAGCACCGGCUAACUACGUG
rnacentral:rRNA from 1 species